CAGGUUUAGGUCAUAAAAUACUGUAUGACAAAAAAAUACUGUAUGAGGUUUGUCAGGUUAGGUCAUAAAAUACUGGAUGAGGUUAGUCAGGUUAGGUCAUAAAAUACUGGAUGAGGUUUGUCAGGUUAGGUCAUAAAAUACUGGAUGAGGUUUGUCAGGUUAGGUCAUAAAAUACUGGAUGAGGUUUGUCAGGUUAGGUCAUAAAAUACUGGAUGAGGUUUGUCAGGUUAGGUCAUAAAAUACUGGAUGAGGUUUGUCAGGUUAGGUCAUAAAAUACUGGAUGAGGUUUGUCAGGUUAGGUCAUAAAAUACUGGAUGAGGUUUGUCAGGUUAGGUCAUAAAAUACUGGAUGAGGUUUGUCAGGUUAGGUCAUAAAAUACUGGAUGAGGUUUGUCAGGUUAGGUCGUAAAAUACUGGAUGAGGUUUGUCAGGUUAGGUCAUAAAAUACUGGAUGAGGUUUGUCAGGUUAGGUCAUAAAAUACUGUAUGAGGUUUGUCAGGUUAGGUCAUAAAAUACUGUAUGAGGUUUGUCAGGUUAGGUCAUAAAAUACUGUAUGCGGUUUGUCAGGUUAGGUCAUAAAAUACUGGAUGAGGUUUGUCAGGUUAGGUCAUAAAAUACUGGAUGAGGUUUGUCACGUUAGGUCAUAAAAUACUGGAUGAGGUUUGUCAGGUUAGGUCAUAAAAUACUGGAUGAGGUUUGUCAGGUUAGGUCAUAAAAUACUGUAUGAGGUUUGUCAGGUUAGGUCAUAAAAUACUGUAUGCGGUUUGUCAGGUUAGGUCAUAAAAUACUGGAUGAGGUUUGUCAGGUUAGGUCAUAAAAUACUGGAUGAGGUUUGAGGCGCAGGCACUGCUACUCUGUAACCCAUAGAGACUACAGUAUUGGUGGAAUAUAACGCGCCUGGGGCCAUUAAAGAACAUGCUCUAGUAGUCAGAGUCAACACAUUUUACAUAAACUUUCUAGACUCACUAGCUAGGCCAUAUAAUAUGUAUAGUAACACUGUGGAAUGCACAACUCCCUAAUGGUUUUGGGGAUAAUCUGCUCAGCAACAAUGUUUCCCAAGGAGUCCCUUAAUUACAACCGUCAGUCAGACCUCUCUCUUUCUCUAGACUCUGUUUACUCAUAGUACCUGUGAUUCACUGAGCAAACACACCCCUCUGUUUCCCUGUCCUGCAUCCAUGUGAACCUGUGUAGAGACACAGCAAUGAUUUAUAGACCAGUCUGAUUAGAAUUAGACUAAGUGUGUGUGUGUGUGUGUGUGUGUGUGUGUGUGUGUGUGUGUGUGUGUGUGUGUGUGUGUGUGUGUGUGUG